rnacentral:misc_RNA from 1 species
UCUCCGUAGGUGAACCUGCGGAGGGAUCAUUACAGAGUUCUCGCCCUCGCGGGCAGAUCUCCCACCCACUGUUAUCGUUACUGUGUUGCUUUGGCGGGCCGCCGGGCCCCGCUCGGCCGCCGGCUCCGGCUGGCGCGCGCCCGCCAGAGGCCCAGCAAACUCUGAAUGUUAGUGUCGUCUGAGUACUAUAUAAUAGUUAAAACUCUCAACAACGGAUCUCUUGGUUCUG